rnacentral:rRNA from 1 species
CCUACGGGGUGCAGCAGUAGGGAAUAUUGCUCAAUGGGGGAAACCCUGAAGCAGCAACGCCGCGUGGAGGAUGAAGGUUUUCGGAUUGUAAACUCUUUUUGUUAGAGAAGAUAAUGACGGUAUCUAACGAAUAAGCAACGUCUAACUCCGUGCCAGCAGCCGCGGUAAUACGGAGGGUGCAAGCGUUAUUCGGAAUCACUGGGCGUAAAGGGCGUGUAGGCGGGAUGGCAAGUCAGAUGUGAAAUCCUAUGGCUUAACCAUAGAACUGCAUUUGAAACUGUUAUUCUUGAGUAUGGGAGAGGUAGGUGGAAUUCUUGGUGUAGGGGUAAAAUCCGUAGAGAUCAAGAAGAAUACUCAUUGCGAAGGCAGCCUACUAGAACAUAACUGACGCUGAUGCGCGAAAGCGUGGGGAGCAAACAGGAUUAGAUACCCGAGUAGUC